rnacentral:rRNA from 1 species
ACCGGGCGGACAGCAUAUGAAGGUCAGGCUGAAGACCUUACCCGAUUAGCUGAGAGGUGGUGCAUGGCCGUCGUCAGUUCGUACUGUGAAGCAUCCUGUUAAGUCAGGCAACGAGCGAGACCCACGUCCACAGUUGCCAGCAUACCCUCCGGGGUGAUGGGUACACUGUGGAGACCGCCGCUGCUAAAGCGGAGGAAGGAGUGGGCAACGGUAGGUCAGUAUGCCCCGAAUCUCCCGGGCUACACGCGGGCUACAAUGGUUGGUACAAUGGGCAUCUACCCCGAAAGGGGAAGGAAAUCUCUUAAAGCCAAUCGUAGUUCGGAUUGAGGGCUGCAACUCGCCCUCAUGAAGCUGGAAUCCGUAGUAAUCGCGUUUCAACAGAACGCGGUGAAUACGUCCCUGCUCCUU